GGACGUGGUUCAAGUGGUAGCGCGCUCGCCUGGCAUGCGUGGGGCACUGGGUUCGAUCCUCAGCACCA
rnacentral:tRNA from 1 species